CGUAUGGACAUGGAUGAUGAAGGCGAACCACACAAAACAUCAGUGGCUACAACACUAGUCCCUCGAGAUCCGGUGAGAGAGUGUCUCAAAGAGACUCACGCUCCUGAUAAUCAAGUGGCGUUAUUGCUCAAUGGUCAUUGGGAACUUUCAAAUUUACCGAUGAUUAAAAGAUGGAUGCUGUGUUUCUUGGUUAAGAAAGGAAUCAUGUCUGAAGCUGGCGUAUUAUACCAGGAUGUUAUCCUACGGCAUAUACCAGAAAAAGAAAAGCCGGCAAUUGUAAAAAUAAUUGACAGGUGCCUGUUCAAGAAGAAACACUUGCCUUAUGAGACAGCCAUGAGAUACUUACUAUGUUUCCAUAGAACUAACGCACAAUUAUCCAGAAUACUUAACGGAAUUUAGAUUACUAUUUAAGUGAGUGAGUGAGGAGUAAUAUGCUAAUUAAGAUAACGAUUUUCAAAGUAUUUUGUCAAACCUAUACGAGAUUCCUGUGGGUCAGAUAUACUUAGUACAACAACGGCUUAGUACAACAGGUUGAUGUUGGGGCUGCCCCACUUUUUCAGUGCUUCGGCAAUGUUCGCGGAUGCGAGGGUGGACGGCUUCCAUGCCAUCCAAUGCAAAAGAACCGCGUCAUCGCUGCAGAGGUUGCGGGGUAGCCCUAACAUCAUUCUGUAAGCCAUUGUUAGUCAUUACGUUGUGCCGAUUAUUCUUCAUGUGCCUGUUUAAUCAUAAUUAUAUUCUAACAUAAUUCAUAAAGACAUUUUACUAACAAUUGUUAUGAUUUUUAUUUCUCAAAUAAAUUUAUAAUAUUAUAUUGUUAAUUAAUGUAUUAGAACUAUUAGGUUAUAACUUCUUAUGUA